GCCAUGAUAGAGUCUUGCCCGGGCAUGCUGUUGCCUCGACAUGCUGGAGUCUUCGGAGAGCAGCUACUGGCCUUAUUCACUGGCUGUGACCCCGUGGCCGAACUGGUCAACAGGCCAGGGACAGGC
ensembl:snoRNA